rnacentral:rRNA from 1 species
UAAGGGAGCGUAGGCGGCUGAUUAAGUCAGCGGUGAAAGGUAGCAGCUUAACUGUUUUACAUGCCGUUGAUACUGGUUAGCUUGAGUUGACAGAAGGCAGAUAGAAUUCCUGGUGUAGCGGUGAAAUGCUUAGAUACCAGGAGGAAUACCGAUUGCGAAGGCAGUCUGCUGCAGUCACACUGACGCUGAGGCUCGAAGGUGCGGGGAUCAAACAGGAUUAGAUACCCUGU